rnacentral:rRNA from 1 species
UACGGGGGGGGCAAGCGUUGUUCGGAAUUACUGGGCGUAAAGGGCGCGUAGGCGGUGUGUCAAGUCAGGCGUGAAAGCCCCGGGCUCAACCUGGGAACCGCGCUUGAGACUGGCACGCUCGAGUUCGGGAGAGGAUGGUGGAAUUCCCAGUGUAGAGGUGAAAUUCGUAGAUAUUAGGAAGAACACCAGUGGCGAAGGCGGCUCACUGGUCCGGUACUGACGCUGAGGUGCGAAAGCGUGGGGAGCAAACGGG